rnacentral:tRNA from 1 species
GGGGAAGUGUCGGAAUGGUAGACGAGCAUGAUUUAGGAUCAUGUGGAGAAAUCCGUGAGAGUUCGAGUCUCUCCUUCCCCA